CCUACGGGAGGCAGCAGUGGGGAAUAUUGGGCAAUGGAGGAAACUCUGACCCAGCAACGCCGCGUGAAUGAUGAAGGUCUUCGGAAUGUAAAGUUCUAUGCUAAGGGAAGAAGAAAGUGAUGGUAGCUUAGGAAUAAGCCUCGGCUCACUAGUUGCCAGCAGCGGCGGUAAGACGUAGGAGAGGAGCGUUAUCAGGAAUGACGGGGCGUAAAGGGGGCGUAGGUGGUUUGGUAAGGUAGGAGCGUAACCCCAAGGCUCAACGUGGGAACUGCUACUAAGACUGUUGGACUUGAGUGCAGGAGGGGCAACCGGAAUUCCUGGUGUAGCUGUGGAAUGCGUAGAUAUUAGGAGGAACACCAGUGGCGAAGGCGGGUUGCUAGACUGUAACUGACACUGAGGCACGAAAGCGUGGGGAGCAAACAGGAUUAGAUACCCUUGUAGUC
rnacentral:rRNA from 1 species